AGAAAAACAGUGGCAACGUAUCGUCCGUACGUUCGUUCUAACGAGAGAAAUAGAAGGACUGAGAAUAGAUUGUUGUUUCGUCGAUAAAAUAGUUGGUGUAAGAAGAAAUUGUGCCGUUGGAGUUAAUAAUUGAACUAACGAAGCGAAGAGAAGAUAGUUCGUAUCUUGUACGAGAUUUCGAAUUUAUACCUAUCAUUUAUUCAUUCAUCUGAAAAAUGAUAUCGAUUUAAAAUUAAAAUUGGUAAAAUGCAUAAGAAUUAUCGUAGAUAUUUGAUCGAACGUUACAAAUUUCUCUUCGUUUGAAUUCUGAUAAAAACGAAAAUACGAUGGUACCCGAUCAUCGUCGAUGGGUUUGAACAUUUUGGGAAAUAUCGGGAUGCGACAGUGUGGAUUUAGAGAGAUAGUUUGCCUGCCGAUUCGAAUACAGCCGGCGCCAUUGUUCCUCGUUAAUCGCUCAACCGAUCGCAAUCUCCGAUACAACGCCCCGAGCAUUGCGAAUCGAAUA